CAGAAUCGUGUUGUGUGUUUGUGCGGCUCACGGGCAUUUCAGAAUUCCAGAUCAUGAAAACGUUGCACGAGUUUGCAGCAAGUAGAUGAGCUCAGUCCAGUGCAGUCGAUCUUAAUUUUUAAUGAUGAAAACAAAUGUGUUUUUCAAACCGAGAGGGUUCUCAUCUCUCCACAUGGCAUGAAUGUUUACCAGCAAUGCUUUCUGGGAGUCUGUGAUUAUGACAAGCAGGGUAAACAAUUGGAAAGUGCUGCUGAACAGUGGACAUCCGUUUCUGUAAAUCACAAGGACAUCCAUGGCGUUCUCCGAGAAAGAAUGUUUUGGAAAAAUUGGGAACAUGCAACAGAAGCGAUAUGAAAGUGAGAAAAAGAUGUUGGAGCUAGAAAAGCAGCUGUUUGCAUAUAGCAGAUCUGAUGAGCGAAUGUGGCGUAUGAGCCUCAGAUUCAGAAGCGAUCAUCAGCUGGGAAACAUGACACUGAGUUAAGAAGAGAGCAGAAAGGAGCAUGUACGGACCAGAGGGUUCAUCCAUCAAAAGUGGAGCAGCUGAGAAAGCUACAGGAUUCCAGCCAACACACCAGAAAGAGGGGUGCAGCUGCUUUCAGUGGGGGUCCUCCUUCGAAAGCCAAUGUAACAUGAGGCUACUUUCAAGCAACUGUUUCAGGCAACGACAUUGUCAAGCACUUUCCUCCAAGUUGCUCAAAACUAGAUCAUUUUGAUUUUGUUGCAACGUAAAAUCAUGUUAUUUAUGUUAUAGCUUAGUUAAAUUAUUUCACAGAGUUGCCCCGUAUUAGCGGAGAGUGAAGCAGGUACAAUUUAGGGGCAACUGUUGUCACCUAGUGCCACCAAGUUGAAUGUGUACAAUGUUACACAUAAUGUUUUUUUAUGUAGUACAAUGUAUUCUUAUGUUUGACAAACCAUGUAAAUCGACGUGUUUAAAGGUGUCUGCUAAAUUACUAAUUAACUACUAAAUAAUAAGACCCUUUUAACCCUUUGCGGUCCUAUGUCAGACGUAAAAAACAGGUCUCUUGUCGUUUUUUCUCCGGAAAAAGCCGAGAAAACCAUUCAAUGGCCGAGUGAGACCGAUAGGAGCCGAGAGAAGCCGAAAAAAAAUAAAAGGGGCGUAUCUCAUGAAUACAGAUACCCCCGACACCACAUAGAUAACACGGACAUAAGCAAACAAGAUAGCUGCUUCUGCAUCCAGCGCUCAAAGAAUAUCACAGACAUUUUUAAAGCUUUUUUUAGAUGUUAUAGUAAUAAAAUAAUGACUUGGAUCACAUUAUUGAGGAGUUUGGUGAUAAAAUGAGUGAUCAGGAGAUGAUUUAUCGGUAUGCACGACUAUGUAUGUGAAAAAUACAGCGAACAAGGGGUGGUGCAGGGCUGGAGUGUCCUGUUGAUAUGCAGUGCCUUUUAAACCUGUUUUACUGUGACAGUUAAUUCUUCAAUAAAAAAAUAACUGACUUAAUAUUUAAUUUUAUUAUUACGACAACGGUAAUGCAUUUAUUUAUUCUAUUAAUUCAUAUAUUGUAUUUAAUCAAAUUAAUCUGUUUAGUCUUUAAAUUAAUACAUUGUAUUUCACUUAAAAUGUUUCUAUUUUGUUUAUGAAUAUAUUGUAUUUGAUUAUAAAUUAAAGCAUUUUCUGUUUUUUAAUUGAAUGAUUAGUAAUAAAUAUCUGUUAUA